CCUACGGGUGGCAGCAGUGAGGAAUAUUGGUCAAUGGACGAGAGUCUGAACCAGCCAAGUAGCGUGAAGGAUGACUGCCCUAUGGGUUGUAAACUUCUUUUAUAUGGGAAUAAAGUGUUCCACGUGUGGGCUUUUGUAUGUACCAUAUGAAUAAGGAUCGGCUAACUCCGUGCCAGCAGCCGCGGUAAUACGGAGGAUCCGAGCGUUAUCCGGAUUUAUUGGGUUUAAAGGGAGCGUAGGGGGGUUGUUAAGUCAGUUGUGAAAGUUUGCGGCUCAACCGUAAAAUUGCAGUUGAAACUGGCAGUCUUGAGUACAGUAGAGGUGGGCGGAAUUCGUGGUGUAGCGGUGAAAUGCUUAGAUAUCACGAAGAACUCCGAUUGCGAAGGUAGCUCACUGGACUGCCACUGACACUGAGGCACGAAAGUGUGGGUAUCAAACAGGAUUAGAUACCCUGGUAGUC
rnacentral:rRNA from 1 species